CUAAAAGUGGAGCUGCUCAGAGGAUGGGGAGCAGAGAGAGGAAUCCUGGGGACAUUGGCUAAGCCCUAAUUUAAGUUGUGCCUGAAGCUCCCCUGGAUCUUUCAACUUUUCAGCAUCUAUCAGCCAAUACAUUCUUUUCUUUUAUGAGAAUUUGGGCUGAAUUUUCUGUCACAACCAAAAGAAGUGUUUUCCUUAAUGAACACACACACACACACACGUACACACAGACACAUAUGGACACACAUACACACGUACACAUAGACACAUGCACAUACAUACGUACAGACACACACAUAUGCAUACACACACAUAUACACAAACGUACACACAUAUACACACACACACAGAUGUCCCUGAUUUUUCUUUAUUUUUAUUGCUUCUGAUUUAAGUAUGCUUCAUUUAAUAGACAGGGCAUUUUGUUUUCUUUUUUUACACCAGCACUGAACAAUCAAACUUUCUUCAGGGAUGGAAAUGUUUUACAUCUGCACUGUCCAGUGAAGUCCCUGGACUGGGUAAAAGUGCCUAGAAAGAGAACGUUGACAAAGAAAAGAAGAGGCCAAGGAUGGGGGUCUGAUGAAGGAGGAAGAGCUAGCAGAUGAGAAAUGGCCAGUAGAGUUGAAGGAGUCCAGAUAAAUGCGUAGCACAGAAGCCUAGAGAAGAACAUGUCUCAAGAAGGGGGAACCGACCAUUCCUACUGUGUGCAGCUGAGAAAUCAAAGAAGAUGUGGGUAGAGAACUGCUGUUACUGAUAAAUGCCCAUUCAGUGGUGUGGCAGAGAUGAAAGCCCAUUGGAGUGGGCUGAGGAUGAGAAUGAAUGAUGAGGAAACGUAGACCUUGGGGUUGGAUGACUCCCUCCAGAAAUUUUUCAGUAAAAGGAAACAGGGAACUGCGCAAUAGUUAGAGGGAGCAUGGGAUCACUUUUUUUGAGAGAGAUGAUACUAAGUAAUUUUUAUAAUAUAUGCUAGUAGGAAAGAUCCAGUAGUGAAGGAGAAGUCAGUGGUGCACAAGAGGAAGGAGACAGCUUCAGGAUUGACACCCUUGAGAAGGUGAGAAGGGCUGGAUUCACAACAUACACAUGCUUCUCCGCAAACAGGACCCUUUGUGUCUAAUACAGCACUGACUCAGUAAAUAAACUGAAACUUGAAAAGGUAGAAACAGAAAGCCAGUGUUCUUUCCCACCACCAUGCCACAGAACUACCUUUCUCAACUUGUACUUUCCUGCUCCUGGACAAAAGCUCCAGAACAUCUCAUGGCUUUUUCAAUUACUCUCAGAUAACAACAACAACAAAAAAAUCCAUUAGUCAUGUUUAGCACCCUGUGUAUUAUCAACACUCCAAAAUUUAAUUUUAAGUUUCUCCUCUCCUCUAGCUCUGGCCUUUGCCACACCAGGAAAUCACCAGUGAGGGAAGGGUAGGAGAAGUUGCUUCUCCUUUCCUGCUUGCUUCACCUCAUCCACAGUCAGUCUGACCUGCUGGUUUGUUUUUGUUUUGUUUUGUUUUGCUUUUUUGGCAGUUCCAUGGCUGGAAUCCAGUAGGUAAGAAAGGUAAAAGAAAGGCCUUAUUCAGUUGGUGUGUUAUAAUUCAGCAUAGAUGCCCUUUCAGGAUGCAGAAUUUAAGUACUAAUUUUCUCUCUUCUGAAGCAUUUUUAUAGAUUCUUCAAAGACAUCCAAUAGAUAAGAAUCUCCCAAAGAGAUCAGCUGGACCCCUGCCCCAUGGUUUCCGACAGUUCAUCUCCAUCUGUUGAGGUCACCUUCUCUCAAGGUCCUCUCGGUGUCUACUACAAAAUGAUCCAAUCUAGUCCCUUCCAUGGGGUUCUCAUCUGACUGAGGGGAAACACCUUUGCCCCACCAAACCCUGGAAGUACAACUUAUGACCAAUGAAACUCUCUAUUCCAUGGCUCCAGAGCAGCAAACUAGAGACAGUCUCCCCUCUUCAAACUUCUCAUGUUUUCCUUCAUACUCCGGGGGACACGUGUCAACUUCUCUGAGAGUUUAUCUUCCAGCUCUCCUUAGUUGGUUUGAAAUGGCAGGUGUAUUCCCUCCCCUCCCUCCCCAAUGCCCCCACACACUGACAACUCUCUCCAAAGAUGCUCUCCACCCUGGCAUCUCUGAUCCUCUCUAUUAUGUCACCUGGACCUGGCCAAUGGACUAAUGCCAGCAACACAGAUGUCACUGUCUCUAAGCAUAUCCUGCCUAGAUGGUUCAAUACCUCCCUUUGGAAUACUGGAAUAUUUGGUUCUCAAACUUGGGGUACCUGCCAAAACUCUGAGAGCAAAUGAAUCUCAUUUUAAUAUUCUACAGAAAUCCAUAAAAAGAGGAAGUAGGAAGGGGCAGGGAGACCACAUGCCAUUACAAAGGUUGUUAACUGCACAAGGCACCUGGCUGAGGAGGUGAAUGGAUUCCAGACCCUGCCCAUGGGGUUAGCGAUGCGAUCUGAGUACACCUCCCACCCCUUUCCUUGCCUGGAACAUUUGACCCUCUGAAGUCAUCCAAAAGAUCUGGAUCAGGGGUGGCUAAGAAACUACGUAUGUCUAUGAAUGAUGGAGGUAAUGGCUGUUUGCAUCUCCCUUAGGUUAAUACUCAGAAAUAAAUAUAAAUUCUAGGAAGGAAGCUUCUGAUUGUGUAGUUAUGGUAAAUUACUUUGGUUUAAACUACCAACUGUACCUGGACUGGUGAGAGAGUGAGUGAGAGUGAGCAAGUAAGGCAAAAGAGAGAGAGACUGAUUAUGGUUAUUAAGUUUCUCGAAAACCCUUAGCUACAUGUUGGCUUCUUCUUGAUAUAACACAAAACAAACUACUCUCCUAAGUAAACCAAGAAUAUUAAAAACUUCUUUUUUUUUUUUUUUUUUUUUGAGUCAGGGUCUCACUCUUUUGCCCAGGCUGGAAUGCAAUGACGUAAUCACAGCUCAUUGCAUCCUUGACUUCCCAGGCUCAAGUGAUCUUUCCACCUCAGCCUCCCAAGUAGCUGGGACUACAGGCACAAGCCAUCAUGCCCAGCUAAUUUUUAUUUUUUUAAAUCUUUUUGUAGAGAUGGUGUCCCAUUGUGUUGUCCAGGCUGGUCUUGAACUCCUGGCCUCACGCGAUCCUCCCACCUCAGCCUUCCGAAGUACUAUUACAGGUGUGAGCCACUGCGCCUGGUCAAAAAAUUCUAAUCCUUAAGAGAGUAACACAAAGCCCUAAGGUAAAUUACCUUGUUUAUUAUAGAAUAAAGGUAGACUUAAAGGCAGGUACUUUCUUCUCCUAGCUCGCAUUGCAUUUAGUAUUCAGUAUAACCUGCUAUUUAUAAAGUUAUCCAAAGGCAUCUUGGCAUGAACCAAACCACACAGACAAGAUAACAUCACUUCCCUGGGAAUUGCUAAGCUUCCUUUGGUCUCUCCCCUGUCAGCAGAGGCAGAGAGGUGCUGCCUCAAUCCUAGCAUACUGGAGACAUGAUUUUUCCACUGCAAGUUGCAUCCUAUUCCAUAGCCACAUGGGAUCCUGACAACUGAGGACUAAAGUAGACAGUGAGCCUCUGAGCAAAUUCACUGUUGAUGGGCUUGUCACUAAAAAUUCACUUCAGUUGUACAGAACCAAACCAAGUAUUACAGGAGAAGGGAUUUGCCUCGCAACCAGAAAAUAGACGUUACUCUCCAUACUAGCCUUAGAGAUUCUCAGCACUGCAGGACAAUAAACAUGAGCAGGUUGGACUCCUUGCCUGAUGUGAGAAUUCCUCUGCAGCAUCCUUGUCAAAUUCUCAUCUAUUGGUAGAAGUAGAAUUGCUGGGUAGAAGAAAAGCACAUUAUUACCUUUAUCGGCACUAAGAAAUCACACUCCGAAAAGGUUAUAACAAGUUAUACUCCCUUCAAUUAGGUUUUACGUUGUCUCCUAUUCUCACUAAUACCAGACAUUCAACAUUAUGAGAUUAUUUAGUUUUGUCAAAUCUGAUUUACCAAAUAGUAUAUCUGCAUAUAUGCAUACCUAUAUCAUAUAGAGUGGGUAUUUUAAUUUUUUUUUUUUUUUUGAGAUGGAGUCUUACUCUGUUGCACAGGCUGGAGUGCCACUGUGCCAUCUCAGCUCACUGCAACCUCGGCCUCCUGAGUUCAAGUGAUUCUCCUGCCUCAGCCUCCCAAGAAGCUGGGAUUACACACACACCACCACCAUACCCAGGUAAUUUUCGUAUUUUUGUAGAUACGGGUUUCACCACAUUGACCAGGCUGGUCUCAAACUCCUGACCUCAAGUAAUCUGCCGGCCUUGGGCUCCCAAAGUGCUGGGAUUACAGGCAUGAGCCACCACACUCGGCCUAAUUUGUAUUAUUGAUAUUAGCAGGUUUAUUGCUAAUUAGUGUUUCUUCUUUGAGUUUUUCUUUUUCCUUAUUUUUUUCUGUAUAAGCCUUUGAUCUGCUAUGUAUGUUGCAAAUUUUUCCCCAUCUUUCUCACUUGUUCUUUAACUUUGUUCAGAGUAUAUUCUGUCAUGUAAAUAUUUUAAAUUUUCAUGUGGUCAAAUAUGUUGGUCUUUUAGGAUUUCUAGGUUUUACACUGUGCUUAGAAAGGCCUUUCCUAUCUCAUGAUGAUAAAAAUACUCAUUCUUCUGGAGUUUUGUUGUCAUCUUUUUGCAAAUCAUUUAUUCAUCUAGAUAGAGCCUGAAUAUAAAGAUCUAACUUUUUUCUUUCCAAAUAGUUUAAAAGACCUCUUAUACCUCCAUUCUCCAAUCUGAAUAGCUGAAUGAAUGAGAGAGUGAAAAAUAGUACUGGCAAUUAGUUGAAUGGGCUCUUACUGUUUUUCACCACCGCCUCAGAUCCAGGACAAAGGGAAGGGACUGAAUUCCCAUUCUGCAGAGGUUACACCUCCCUCCUUAUUUUGUCAUAUCUUCCCUGAGUCUAUAUAAUAAUUAGUUAGCAAAAUAACAUAAUUGGAAAAAAAGCUUCUCUGAGAUGUGUAGAUACUUUCUCAAAUGUGCACUGACUAAGGUCUUAUCAUAAUUUUCUUAAGGAACAACUCUCUUUCCAUCCUAAAUGCCAGACCAAUGAUAUGAUCUUUGGCAAUGUACUCUGGAAGAAAUAAAGUAGCAUCUCAUUCAUUCCUUGCUGUCUUCAGAUGACAGUCUAUGGAGUAUGGGUGUAUUUGUAGGGGUGAAAGUGACAAAAAAGAAGGCAAGCCAUAUGAAGAUUAUAUCUGCUUAAAAUUGACACGUUUAAAUUUCUGCAAAGAUUCCAGACACUGUUUUAAGACAGCUGAAAAACCACUAAACUAUUCUGCCCACAUGCCCCAAAUAUUCUAUCUCACCAUAACCCUCUUGGAUUUACACAUACCAAAAUGCUCAAGGGCCAUUUCCUGAAUUUCUGCCAAAUGUUCCGAUAACACUUCAGCUUAGAUUAAUUCAAAUUCCAAGGAAAACACCAAAGUGAUUUAUGACAAGGAAAAAGAGAUAUUUAAACUAAAAACAUAAUCAACAGUAAUUUACAAACUGAAGAUAAUUUUAUGUCACUACUCAAUUUUGGAAAAGCAACUCUUGUAGGAAUUUCCCUUCUCUCCCCCAGUGUACAAAUAGCCAGACUUUUCAUGUGGACAUCACUAUUUACAGUAAAUGGAAGACCUUGCAUCUCACUUCUAAAAAUAGGAAAAGAAGACCACCAGAAUCUAGAAGAGCUGCUGUCAGAACUUAUGAUAGGAAGCAAGUGACUCUGAGGUGCAAAGAGUGGACUGCGGUGAACCUGCAGUGUAUCACCCAGGUUUAUCGCCCCCUUCAGGACUCAAGCACUCAUUUCCCCACCUGCAGGGAAUGUUGGUGGCUAACAGCUAUCAGCUCUUGCUCUUCAGGCAUUGCCCUUUGCUGAACAGUUUCUUUGCCCAAGAUCACAUCCCCAUCCCAGGGACAUCUGAUAUCCAAUGAUUAACUGAUGUAGGGCUAUAAGACCAACCUCAAUUCAAAAUAACCUUGAAGGGUUAUUGCAGCUACACAGCCACUGAUGGGAUUAGUGAAGUUUUCUUACAACUGCAUCAGAAUUCUCCUUCUCCCUGUGCCCAGUAAUGCUAUCUACACUUUCCCAAAAGUACCGAUCUCAAAAGGACUCCUCAGUAACGUUCCUGCAUGCAAAUCUCCAUCUCAUAAUCUGUGUCCCAAGGAACCCAACCUGCAAUGCAUGCAUUGUCUCAUUUGAUCCUCUCCACAAGAUCAGAACUGCUAUUAUCCCUAUUUUACAGUGGAAAUUCAAGCCCCAAGAGCUUCAGUAAACUUGCAAACUCCCUGAUUUUAGAGUCUAUGCUCUUAACCAACCUGGAUCAGCAAACUGUAAUCCCUAUGCUAGAAUUAGGCAAAUAUUUCCCUGGAUGAGACGCUCUAGGUGCAGCCAGCUGAGCACUAACUAGUCAGAUGUUUCUUUUCAUCAUGUGUUCCCUGGGACCUACCUGGAAAUUUCAAAGGAAGGGGUCUUCUGUGAGCUCCCAAUCAAGUUUAGCAUUCUCUCCUGUGCUUGUGAUGUUGUGCAGAGGAGUCCUCCUGACAUGAUCAGCUGCCACCCCAGCCACCUGGGUCCCAGAUCUCAAGAUAACUGGAGUGACCCAAAUGCAGAUCUUGGUCUUCUGAAUCCAGUUGUUUAAUAAGUGAUUUGUGGCUGGACAGUUACAUAACUGUAGAGAUCACCCAGGUUUGUAUGGGGUCUCACUUCCCUCUCCACCCUCAGAUUGUCUGUCCCUCCCUAGAGUAAAGCUACGUCACAUAGUCUCCCCCAAGUUCCAAUGUGUUAGUGCCAGAUAUACGGAAUGCUUGUUGGGAAUGUGGCUUAAACUGUCUCUACUGUGACAGAAGGACAGACUGUCAUCAACUGCUGCAGGUAACCUAGAAACCCUUUGUCUUUCACAACAACUUUUUGUUAUUUUAUUCUCUGAGCCAUCUCUUAGACAAUGUCUGGAUUCCCAUCAACUUCUGCACAUAAACAAUAUUUAUAAGUAACCAGGCAGAGCAAUGGAGUGUGUUUAGUCAUUUUGCAUAAGAACUUCCCUUGCACAAGUUCUAUAUAUAACUCAGUUGGCAACCCCCUUUUCUACCCAUUGAGGCACCAGUGCAGAACAUGUUCUUAGGAGCACUCACAGCCCCUCCACUGUGGGUUUCUUGAGGUAAUAGAAAGAAAAUUCCAGGUGUUACUGUUCCCCAACCCCUUAAAUACACAGCCCCCAGUGUCUCCUACACUUAGCCCCCAUUACUCCCAAUCAUGGUUCCUCUGUUUAUGAAGGUCUGCCUCCUUCCUCUGCCCCACAUGUCAACCUCAUUUCUGUCCUUGUUCUCUUCCCAUGGCACUUUCCAGCCUUCUCCCCACAGCAGGAUCUCCUUUGACUCUCUUCAAUAAUCUGCAUACACUGUGUGCUUCCCCAAGAUACCAUCCCUGAAGAGCCCCAUUUCACUCUGACUAUUCACAAAGCCUCAUUAGCAUGUUCUUGUACAGUACUCACUAGCUUUGAAUGGAACCUCAUGCCCUUUUAGAGUCAGAAUACUAAGUUCAGACACUGCCACUUACAGGAAUGUGAUCUGGGGGAAGUUCCUUAACUUCUCCAAGCUUCACUGUUUUCACUUGUAAAAUGGCAAUAGUAAAGCCUACCCAAUGUGCUUGCAGAGAGGACGAAUGAGGUAACGCAGUAAAAAGUAACCUUUAAAUUUUAAAGUUCUAUAUGAAUGUGAGUUAUCAUUAUUGUGUUGUUUCUCCCCUCUGAGCUCUCUGAGGUCACAUCUUUUACUUCCUUUCUCUCCCUGGGUCACACACAGUGACAGUAACACUGUAAGCUAAUAUUAGAUGCAGAAUUAAGAAUGAAUAAAAGAAAACCACUCACCAAUCAGAAUUAGGCAAAAUCCUAACCAUAUUAAAUCUAUUGUAGACUGUUCCACAG
rnacentral:lncRNA from 1 species